ACGUUCUCUGCUUAAUUAAAAUUCAUUUCAUGACGCUGCCCGAUUUGUUCUGCGCAUGUCUAAUGUUUUACGACAUACGUCAUUCGUCAGAUUUGACUUGUACUUGCGAGUCUUUUUUGUGUUGUCGUUUAUUUCCGUAUGUAAGUGCACUUGUUACUGGAAAAGGUGGAAACUUUUGAAUUUUAUAACGUCUUGGAAGAUGUGUCGCCUGAAAAAUUUAACUCCAGUCGAAUGAAGAGGGUGCGAAAUGAAAUGUGACGUGUGUCUGUGAACUUGAUAAUGGACAUGUACAGCUUUUUUUACAGUGAAGUAGAAGAGUCCGGUCGUGUUAUGGGGCAGCAGUUAAAGAGAAGGACGGAGAGAUGUGUGCCAUGUUGAAGUAGCGGCUGGUUCUCCUGCCCGCUCUUCUAGAAUCCUCCCAUCUAAACCUCUGCUCUGAUCUGCUGUGCCUUUGCCAAGUGAUCACGAGUUUAUUGCAAUGGUGCUCUCCCCGCGUCUCCACCGUCUGUUACAUCAACUCCAACUGCCUGUGAUGCUGGAGAGAAGAAAAGUUCACAAGAUGUCCUAAAAUGGAAUUGUGAUUGGACUGAGACAGCCACAAUUAUGUGUGCUGGGAUGUGCAGAGAGGGCUGUGCGGGCUUUGGCUUGGGACCCCCAGAGGUUUAUUAUUUACAGUAUCCUUGAAGACUGCAAGUUUGUCUUUGUCCCCAGCCAUUUGACCAGGCAGUGUAUUUAUUACAAAGGACAAGGACCCCUCCAUUUGCUUCUUAUUUAC